rnacentral:rRNA from 1 species
UACGAAGGGUGCAAGCGUUACUCGGAAUUACUGGGCGUAAAGCGUGCGCAGGUGGCUUGUUAAGUCUGCUGUGAAAGCCCCGGGCUCAACCUGGGAAUGGCAGUGGAGACUGGCAAGCUAGAGUGCGGUAGAGGAUAGUGGAAUUCCCGGUGUAGCGGUGAAAUGCGUAGAGAUCGGCAGGAACACCCAGGGGGAAACCAGUCGACUGGGCAUCUACUGACGCUGAGGUGCGAGAGCGUGGGGAGCGAACCGG